rnacentral:rRNA from 1 species
UACGAAGGGGGCGAGCGUUGUUCGGAAUUACUGGGCGUAAAGGGCGCGCAGGCGGCUCUGAAAGUCAGAUGUGAAAGCCCCGGGCUUAACCUGGGAAUUGCAUUUGAUACUCUGGAGCUUGAGUGUGGGAGAGGAGAGUGGAAUUCCCAGUGUAGAGGUGAAAUUCGUAGAUAUUGGGAAGAACACCGGUGGCGAAGGCGGCUCUCUGGGCCGUAACUGACGCUGAGGAGCGAAAGCAUGGGGAGCGAACAGG